rnacentral:rRNA from 1 species
GAUGAACGCUGGCGGCGUGCCUAAUACAUGCAAGUCGAGCGAACAGACGAGGAGCUUGCUCCUCUGACGUUAGCGGCGGACGGGUGAGUAACACGUGGAUAACCUACCUAUAAGACUGGGAUAACUUCGGGAAACCGGAGCUAAUACCGGAUAAUAUAUUGAACCGCAUGGUUCAAUAGUGAAAGACGGUUUUGCUGUCACUUAUAGAUGGAUCCGCGCCGCAUUAGCUAGUUGGUAAGGUAACGGCUUACCAAGGCAACGAUGCGUAGCCGACCUGAGAGGGAGAUCGCCAACACGGCACCGGGAACAGGACCAAGCCACCUAGGGGAGGAAGCAGAGGGGAUUCUCCCACAAGGGGCAAAAGCCUGACGGACAACCCCCAGGUGGUGAAAAGAGGUCUGGGCAUCGAAAACCUUUUUUAUUGGGAAAAAAAAAUGUUUAAAGUACUACGCCACGUCUGAACGGAACCUAAUAAAAACACCACGACAAACUCGGCG